rnacentral:rRNA from 1 species
UGGGGAAUAUUGGACAAUGGGCGAAAGCCUGAUCCAGCCAUGCCGCGUGUGUGAAGAAGGUCUUCGGAUUGUAAAGCACUUUAAGUUGGGAGGAAGGGUUGUAGAUUAAUACUCUGCAAUUUUGACGUUACCGACAGAAUAAGCACCGGCUAACUCUGUGCCAGCAGCCGCGGUAAUACAGAGGGUGCAAGCGUUAAUCGGAAUUACUGGGCGUAAAGCGCGCGUAGGUGGUCUGUUAAGUUGGAUGUGAAAGCCCCGGGCUCAACCUGGGAACUGCAUCCAAAACUGGCAAGCUAGAGUACGGUAGAGGGUGGUGGAAUUUCCUGUGUAGCGGUGAAAUGCGUAGAUAUAGGAAGGAACACCAGUGGCGAAGGCGACCACCUGGACUGAUACUGACACUGAGGUGCGAAAGCGUGGGGAGCAAACA